GACGAACGCUGGCGGCGUGCCUAAUACAUGCAAGUCGAGCGAGCGGAACUAACAGAUUUACUUCGGUAAUGACGUUAGGAAAGCGAGCGGCGGAUGGGUGAGUAACACGUGGGGAACCUGCCCCAUAGUCUGGGAUACCACUUGGAAACAGGUGCUAAUACCGGAUAAGAAAGCAGAUCGCAUGAUCAGCUUUUAAAAGGCGGCGUAAGCUGUCGCUAUGGGAUGGCCCCGCGGUGCAUUAGCUAGUUGGUAAGGUAAAGGCUUACCAAGGCGAUGAUGCAUAGCCGAGUUGAGAGACUGAUCGGCCACAUUGGGACUGAGACACGGCCCAAACUCCUACGGGAGGCAGCAGUAGGGAAUCUUCCACAAUGGACGCAAGUCUGAUGGAGCAACGCCGCGUGAGUGAAGAAGGUUUUCGGAUCGUAAAGCUCUGUUGUUGGUGAAGAAGGAUAGAGGUAGUAACUGGCCUUUAUUUGACGGUAAUCAACCAGAAAGUCACGGCUAACUACGUGCCAGCAGCCGCGGUAAUACGUAGGUGGCAAGCGUUGUCCGGAUUUAUUGGGCGUAAAGCGAGCGCAGGCGGAAGGAUAAGUCUGAUGUGAAAGCCCUCGGCUUAACCGAGGAACUGCAUCGGAAACUGUUUUUCUUGAGUGCAGAAGAGGAGAGUGGAACUCCAUGUGUAGCGGUGGAAUGCGUAGAUAUAUGGAAGAACACCAGUGGCGAAGGCGGCUCUCUGGUCUGCAACUGACGCUGAGGCUCGAAAGCAUGGGUAGCGAACAGGGUUAGAUACCCUGGUAGUCCAUGCCGUAAACGAUGAGUGCUAAGUGUUGGGAGGUUUCCGCCUCUCAGUGCUGCAGCUAACGCAUUAAGCACUCCGCCUGGGGAGUACGACCGCAAGGUUGAAACUCAAAGGAAUUGACGGGGGCCCGCACAAGCGGUGGAGCAUGUGGUUUAAUUCGAAGCAACGCGAAGAACCUUACCAGGUCUUGACAUCUAGUGCCAUUUGUAGAGAUACAAAGUUCCCUUCGGGGACGCUAAGACAGGUGGUGCAUGGCUGUCGUCAGCUCGUGUCGUGAGAUGUUGGGUUAAGUCCCGCAACGAGCGCAACCCUUGUUAUUAGUUGCCAGCAUUAAGUUGGGCACUCUAAUGAGACUGCCGGUGACAAACCGGAGGAAGGUGGGGAUGACGUCAAGUCAUCAUGCCCCUUAUGACCUGGGCUACACACGUGCUACAAUGGGCAGUACAACGAGAAGCGAGCCUGCGAAGGCAAGCGAAUCUCUGAAAGCUGUUCUCAGUUCGGACUACAGUCUGCAACUCGACUGCACGAAGCUGGAAUCGCUAGUAAUCGCGGAUCAGCACGCCGCGGUGAAUACGUUCCCGGGCCU
rnacentral:rRNA from 1 species